CAAGGUUGAGUGAAUUUUGUUUAUGUUGAGUAAGUGUGGGUUUACUUCAGACUCUUGCAGUGUAAAAGUGGCAUUUUUUUUUCUCUUGGAAAAACUUGCACUGGCGGAAAAAAGUAGGUACAGUUAAUAGACCAGAGCUGACCGCAUGGCAAAAACAAGAAAUCUUUUGGCUUGUUUGAUACAGAUGGAUCUGGCACCAUUAAUGUUCAGGAAUUGAAGGUUUCCAAUGCGUGCAUUAGGGUUUGAACUGAAAAAAGAAGAUAUGAAAAUGAUGAUUGCUAUGAAAAUGAUGAUUGCUGAUGUUGAUAAUGAAGGAUCUGGAACCAUUGAUUUUAAUCUUUUUAUCUGUGAUGAAACAGAAAAUGAAAUUGAAGAACGACCAGGACCUCGCUGCUAAAAUCCUACCCAGGACCGGGAGCCCCCUAGAGACCAGCGCAGGAGAGUCCAAAAACUUUUAUAUCUAUUUUUGUUUUAACCUCUUAUGUGCGGGACUUCGUUAAUUAUAUCUUUUUAUUUUCACCUCCUCCUUUAUCAUUGUUGAUAUUGGUGGGGGAAUUUAUUUUGAUUAUUUUCAUUUGAUUAUUUUUGUUUUAUUUCCUUUUUGAUUGGAAUACUGGCCGGUGGCCAUCUACAGCCAAACAAAUAAAAACCCUUCUGCGGGGGAAAAACUACUCAAGCCUCCUGUGUGUUUUGCCAGUCCCUUUUAUCAUCACUGUUUUGACUCGGCCCACUAACCUCCUAUACACCCGCUUUGGCAUUUGAAACAUUUUCACGUGCAAUACAGUGGGUGUUGCGUACCAGACCUUUACUUUUGUGUCUUGGUUGAAGUUACAUAAAUAUGGUAUUUUCUUUUUACAUAAAUACCAAAAGGCUUCAGAGAAACUUGUUUUUAAAAGCAAUUUCAUGUUUUUUCCCAGGUUGAUCCUAAUAUAGAAAUUACCUAAAACUCUGUUCAAAAUGACAUCCGUAUGCUCACCACUUCAGUGACCUCACUGAACUCCAUAAGCUCAACUGCUAAUUGUUGGUUUGUGCAUGAGUCAGUUUUUAAUUUAAACUAAGCUUUGUGCCACUGGAGUUUGAUAACGGUUUUGUGAAGUAGCACAAGUCUAGCUACAUGUUCUGGAAAAUCUAAAACAGCAGCAUAGGAAAAAGAAUGUGUUACAGACUGGAAAGCGCUAAUGUAUAUAUUUAAUACUGAGAAACGGAAUAAGAAUUACAUCUUAAACUGGUGUACUGUAUCUGUACAAAUAUUUUUUUAGAUUAUUAACAAUCAGGGAUUUGAACACAUUAAACAUUAAUAACAAUGUGCCAGGGACAUUUACCAAUUAAUAAGCAGGCCAUUACAUUAUAAAAGAUUUCCAUUGAUAAGUGUACAAAAAAAACACAGACAAUAUAUGCAAAUAGAAGUUAGGAUGAUAUAUAUAUUUAUGUAGCCUAGCAUACAGUUUCUAUUUCUUACCACCAGGGGGAGCUGGUUUAAUUGAGACUGCCUGGGCAAAUGUCUUACUGUACCCUCUAUUCUAUUGUGACCUCCCGCAUGUCAGAGGUCAAUGUUUUUGUUCUCUGUUGUGAGGGUAAGCCACUUGGAAUUCUCCCUUUUUAUCUAUGUUCAAAUCUAACUUUAAAAUUGCCAUGCAUUGCUGUUAUCAUUUGAUGUUAAUGGAUAGGUACAUGUUAAACCCCCUUUUGAUUUAUAUUGGUUGUAAAAACAUGUUAUUUUAUAGUUUAAAAAAAAACAAUCUUUUAAAAAAAAAAAAUACUUGGUUUGCAAUGCAGUGAUUUGUGCAUGAAAGUAUUUUUGAGUUAUGGUUAUACAUGAAUGGUGGGCAUUUGAGCCGGGCGACUGUCUGGAUGUGAACCGGGCGACUGUCAAGCUGUAAAGUAAAUUGAUCAGAAGAAUGAAACUGUAUAGCUACAGGUGCAUGUUCACUACCAGCUCACAUCACACAGCAAGUUGUAAAAUAAACUGAUCAGAAGAGUGACACUGUAGAUCUACAGGUGCAUGUUCACUACUGAACAGUGUGUACUGUGCUCUGAAAAACACUGUCCCGCUUUGAUAAAAAAUGUAAGACUUGUACGGCAUGUGGAACAUAAUAUCUGUCUCUUGCCUAGGAUGCCCCUUCUCACCAGCUUUCUUGCAGACAUACACUGUAUAAUAUUGCCCAUGACCGGAUUGAGCACCACCAGGGAGACUUGAUGAAUGUUCUGAAUCUCGAAGAUGGUAGUAAUGUAGUCUGUGGUUUCAUUUUUUUCAGUAUCUGCAGUGGCUUUCCUUGCAGUAUGUAUUUUCUUUUUCCUUGUUGAAAUCCUCUCUGUCCUCAGUCGAACUUCUUUCAGGUUGGUUUUCUUUAGGUUACCUCGCUCCAAAUUUGUAAAUCUUAAUGUGAAGUCAUCUGAUACAAACUAUCUGAUACAAAGACAUUUUUUGAUGCUGCUGUUAUUUUUUUAGUUUUGUGCUUUUUAAAAUAAAUCAUUUCACAGGUUUUUUUUUUUUUUUUUUUUCACUUUAUUAUGUCUUACAGAAACCUGUCAAAUACAAAACUCUCACUAAUACUGAAUUGCUUGCAUAUGUAUCUAGUAAGCCUGACUUACUGUAACCUGGUUGUGAUUCUUUAUUUUCAUCUUGUUGCUGAAAACAAGGUUAACCGUUAUGUUAAAUGUCAACUGCAAAGAAAAUAAAAUCUUUUUCUUCUAAAUCCAUUGCUCAUUGGUCAAUUAAGAACUCUUUGCUGGUUACCCACUCAAAACACAGUUUGUUUUUCCAGAAAUGUACUCUUAUAUCUCCUACUUAAUUUUGAUUGCAUUCACAUCAAAAGUUAUUUGAUUUAUCUUCACCUACUGACAAAAUGGUAUGUAUAGCUUUACAAUUUUUUUUUUUA